rnacentral:rRNA from 1 species
UACAGAGGGUGCGAGCGUUGUCCGGAAUCACUGGGCGUAAAGAGUGCGUAGGCGGUUUUCUAAGUUUGGUGUGAAAUCUCCCGGCUUAACUGGGAGGGUGCGCCGAAAACUGGAAGGCUUGAGUAUGGGAGAGGUAAGCGGAAUUCCUGGUGUAGCGGUGAAAUGCGUAGAUAUCAGGAGGAACACCGGUGGCGAAGGCGGGUCUCUGGGCCGAUACUGACGCUGAGGAGCGAAAGCGUGGGGAGCGAACAGG